rnacentral:lncRNA from 1 species
UUUAGUUCUCAUGGGGAUUUUAUUAUGAGCUCAUCGAGUUGUUUUUAUUGAAUUUGCAAUUCUCGCACCAUUGUAGUUGUCAUAUGUUUUUCUUCCCGUUUACAAAGUGUAUGUAUGUGAUUAUUAUGGUCUUAUGUAUACAGUUUGGUGUAAAUUAGUUCCAACCGUUAUCUCAGUGCGGAAAUUGAACCCCUGACCCCUUGUUUCACAGUUGGCUCAUCAUCUGCUGUGUCAAAGGAGUUGAAAGCGAGCGAGUCGUUAGAAAACUAAACGUAAAUACAAGAAAGGAGUUUCUAGAACAAAUGUUCCAUUACGGGCAUUAUCCAGCAGCUUUACAUCGAAGGGGGCGCGCCGUGUCCAGCAGCCGAACAGUUUGUCUUACAACGAAACUCAUUAAGUUACGAGGAUUGGGGAGAGGGAAUUAUGAAGUGGAUUAACUGAAAGUUGAAGCUGCUUUAUAAUAAUAAGAGAGGUGAUGGUAAUAAGAUAUUAGAAAGAAAAUAGAGCAUACUGCAGAAUUAGUUUGUAGUAGUAAAAACGAUAAAUUUGUGAUGAUGCUAAUACCAUUUUUUUUUAUGCAAACAAUUAUUUUCAGUGUUCUAAUUUAUCAAAAUUAAAGUACAUACGACUUCACAUUUGAUGGCAGUAUACAAAAUGGAGGUCAUAAUCUAAUCAUUAUUUAACCGUCUAUAUUACACUUUUAUAUUUUAAGACCAUAUUCAUAUUGUGUUUUCUUUAUACUGAACAAACAUUACAACUUUUAGAUCUUAAUUUUUAGUGUUUACGUGUUGUUUAUUGUUAAGUCUGCAGGAAAGCUUAAAUAAAUAAAAUUAUUAUUGAAAUGUUGCAGUUAGUUAGCAUGAUAUACUAGACACGUAGGUCCCACGUAAAAAUAUAGAACAAAGAUAGAUAGCUGUUGUCAAACUAAAUCCUGGUAAAAGCUAGUAAACAAUAAAUCAUUUAGCAGUCUGUCCUGCAAUACGGCAAUUUUCUGGUUAGGCUCACCACUCGGUGGGCGUAAUGCUGAUAAUGAUUUAUUGUACAAGAACAUGUAUUGUAGCCGGAAGGUACGACAUGUGAGCUAUUAUGGUAUUCCGCAAAAUAGCUUGUUAGUUAUACAUAAAUAAUGCGGCGUGACCGUUUUAGUUAGUCGAUACUCUGUCUGCUUAAUGUCUCUGUGUAUGGAUCUUAAUAAAAGGCCAAGUUAUCCGGCUAUGCGCCCACAUCCUAUUUCCAAAUUAGGAGAACUUAUCGGUUACGUAUUGGUUGAGGAAGUUCUAGACAAGCGAUUAUCCGUUUGUAGAAAUAUAAGUGUGAAUAUAAUUAAAACAAAAUCCAAUUUUUAUUAAAGCGUCGUUAAUUUUAGACGAAACACCGAAAGUGUCAAUGGCAAACAAAAAUUUGGUGUUAACAAAUCACGCCGAGGUAAAGGCGACAUUAAGAGAGUGCGAAAUAUUAAUUUUAAUUUAUUCAGACUGUGAGCCCGCUUCGGCCGCGGCAGUAAAUUAAGUAAGCGGAAGAAAGCUCAUUUAUUUUUGGCCGGAUGCGGCGAAAUUCACAUCCGCGUUAAAUACACAACCCGACGAAACGCGUACUUUCUCGUUUCGCGUAUUUUCAGUUGAAAUUUAAUUUCGCGCGCAAAUUACUGUCUUUUUGUUAUUCACUUUUUGAAUUGGUGAUGACGAAAUUAGGCCGCUACUUGAUCAUUAAUUUACCGGCUGAGUUACGUGGCUUCAUUACUUGAGAAUUGUUAUUAAAUAUUAAUCAAAGAUUUCAGUAAGCCGAGGCGUCAGUAUUCCACAGACAUGUGAUUAUUCAGCUAUUAAUUAUGUGAGUGUGGAAAGAAAACUAAUCUGCACUCGCCAGCGAGGAAAUUAAGACAAUUUGUAUAUGAGAUUACGUUCAUUCAUCGUGUGAAUAGUGUUUAUUUUGAUGCUAGAAUUAAUAUUCGUCAGAUAGGGCUUUUAAGAAGUAUACCUAUUGCUACAAUUUAUACUGUACAGAGACCCUUUACAAACUUGUCGAGAGAUGGAAUCGUGAGAUUUUUAAGCCCU